rnacentral:rRNA from 1 species
CCCUUAGAUUUUCUGGGCCGCACGCGUGCUACACUGAGUGGAUCAGCGGGUCAGGUUGCGCGAAAGCGUUUCCUAAUCUUUAAAUCCGCUCGUGAUGGGGAUUGACGGUUGCAAUUUUCUGUCAUGAACGAGGAAUACCUUGUAAGCGCGGGUCAUCAUCCCGCGCUGAAUACGUCCCUGCCCUUUGUACACACCGCCCGUCGCUCCUACCGAUUGAGUGGUCCGGUGAGGCUUUGGGAUCUGAGCGGAAAGAGCGUUUCGCUGUUUCUGCUCGGAAAACUCAGUCGAACCUUAUCAUUUAGAGGAAGGAGAAGUCGUAACA